rnacentral:rRNA from 1 species
UACGAAGGGGACUAGCGUUGUUCGGAAUCACUGGGCGUAAAGGGCGCGUAGGCGGCUUUGUAAGUCGGGGGUGAAAGCCUGUGGCUCAACCACAGAAUUGCCUUCGAUACUGCAUGGCUUGAGACCGGAAGAGGUUAGUGGAACUGCGAGUGUAGAGGUGAAAUUCGUAGAUAUUCGCAAGAACACCAGUGGCGAAGGCGGCUGACUGGUCCGGAUCUGACGCUGAGGCGCGAAAGCGUGGGGAGCAAACAGGG